UACGAAGGGGGCUAGCGUUGCUCGGAAUUAUUGGGCGUAAAGAGCUUGUAGGCGGUUUGUCGCGUCUGCUGUGAAAUCUCAAGGCUCAACCUUGAGCUUGCAGUGGGUACGGGCAGACUAGAGUGUGGUAGGGGAGACUGGAAUUCCUGGUGUAGCGGUGAAAUGCGCAGAUAUCAGGAGGAACACCGAUGGCGAAGGCAGGUCUCUGGGCCACUACUGACGCUGAGAAGCGAAAGCAUGGGGAGCGAACAGG
rnacentral:rRNA from 1 species